rnacentral:rRNA from 1 species
UACGUAGGGGGCAAGCGUUGUCCGGAUUUAUUGGGCGUAAAGAGCGUGUAGGCGGCCAGGGAGGUCCGUUGUGAAAACUCGAGGCUCAACCUCGAGACGCCGAUGGAAACCCCCUGGCUAGAGUCCGGAAGAGGAGAGUGGAAUUCCUGGUGUAGCGGUGAAAUGCGUAGAGAUCAGGAAGAACAUCGGUGGCGAAGGCGCUCUGCUGGACCAUAACUGACACUCAGGGACGAAAGCUAGGGGAGCGAAUGGG